UGACCAAUCACGCAAGUGGUAUUGGGGCUUGCCGUACGGCAUCCCUUAAACGCAGUGGCAGUGCUAUAGGCUCUCAGCGCAGUAAUUAUUUCGCUCUCGAGUCCUAGACCCACCCGCCAAAACCUCAACUUUCUUAGG
rnacentral:misc_RNA from 1 species